AUGUGUGUACACCAAGACCUGUUGCAUCAAAGCUUUUUGCGGAUACACCUCUUCAUACAGGACAGCUUUGUCGUGUGCUUGACGCAUCCCUUGGUUCUUGCAGGAACAUGUGCUAUUCCUGGUGCUUUUGGUUGUGGAAAAACUGUUAUUAGUCAGGCACUUUCCAAGUACUCCAGUUCUGAAGCUGUGGUUUAUGUGAGAUGUGGUGAAAGAACAAAUGAGAUGGCUGGGAUUCUCAUGGACUUGCCCCAAUUGACAACGACGUUGCCCAACGGACGUGAAGAGUUUGUCAUGAAGAGAACAACAUUGGUUUCUAACGCGUCUAACAUGCCCGUCGCUGCUCGUGAAGCCUCCAUUUAUACAGGUAAAGGUGUAAUGCCUUGA
rnacentral:rRNA from 1 species